UGCCAGCCGCCGCGGUAAGACGUAGGGACCGAGCGUUGUCCGGAUUUAUUGGGCGUAAAGAGCUCGUAGGCGGUUGCGUAAGUCGGAUGUGAAAACUCGGGGCUCAACCCCGAGACGCCAUCCGAUACUGCGCUGACUUGAAUCCAGUAGGGGAGUGUGGAAUUUGUUGUGUAGCGGUGAAAUGCGCAGAUAUGACAAGGAACACCUAUGGCGAAGGCAGCACUCUGGGCUGGUAUUGACGCUGUGGAGCGAAAGCAUGGGUAGCGAACAGGAUUAGAUA
rnacentral:rRNA from 1 species